GGCUCGUUGGUCAAGCGGUUAAGACUUCGGCCUCUCACGCCGACAACGCGGGUUCGAUUCCCGCACGAGUCACCA
rnacentral:tRNA from 1 species